UGUAGCUUUGUGCCUUUCCUGGAACUCGCUUUGGAGACCAGGCUGGCCUCGAACUCACAGAGAUCUGCCUGGCUCUGCCUCCCGAGUGCUGGGAUUAAAGGCGUGCGCCACCACCGUCCGGCUCCUACAGGAAUUCUUAGGCAGAGAGAAGGUAGUAUCUUAGAAUGGAUAUUUUUACAAUACAAACAGAGCACAAAUUAAAGACUUAUGUAGAAAACUUUUCUGAAUAAAUUCUAAAAGGAAAAUCAAUUUGUCAAUUACCAGGAAUAGACAGCAGAAAUUGUGGUACAUUUUGCUAAUGCUGAAAUUUCCUCAUUAUGGCAGAAAAUGAAUAUUGGCAAAGAGCUUGCAGUAAUUUUUUGGGAGAGAUUAGCAACAAAUAUCCCCCAAACAAGAGACUUCAGUUCAUAAAGAGAACUAACUGGAUCCCUCCUCACAUUGUAUGGGGAACACCAGUUUUUGGAGCCCCUACAUUCUAUACUGAUGCAAACAAUCAAGAAAGGCAGGUUAUAAGUGAGAAAAUUUAAGUAAAGUGGCUCAAAGCCCUUACGGUUUUGUUCAAAAGUCAGAAUUAUAUGCUAUUCUCAUGGUAUUAUUAGAUUUUCCAGAACCUCUUAAUAUAGUUAUUGACUCUCAAUAUGCAGAAAGAGUUGUUUUACAUAUUGAAACUGCUGGACUUGUUCCAGGUGAUUCAGGAUUAACUUUGUUAUUUAUUCAAUUACAAGAAAUAAUCAGAAAUAGAAAUCAUCCCUUGUAUAUAACACCUUUCAGGUCCCGCACAGGGUCUACCAGGCCCUCUUGCAUGAGGUAAUGAUGAAAUUGAUUGGCUAUUCAUAGGAAAUGUGCUAGAAGCCUCAGAAUUUCAUAAGAAACACCAUGUUAAUAGCAAGGUGUUGUAUGAUAUUUUGUUUGUGUUCUGACAAAGUUUGCUUGGAGUCAGAGGGCUGGGCUAGCCACUAGUUAACCAUAAAGGUGUGGAGGUCUGUACAGCAAGGAGACAGGAAGUGAUAAGGUGGGACAGAGAGAGGAUCUUGGCCCUUUUGGUCAGAGGAACAGAAGAGGUAGGAAGUCACUGGUGGCUGUUCUGCUUCUCUAAUCUUUCUGGUUAUUACUCUGAUAUCUGACUCCUAGUUUUUAUUGGUAAGAUUAAUUAGAAUUACACUUCAUCUGGUGUCCAACUUUUGGGGCACUAAUUCAUGAGAUAGCUGCUUGCCCAUGGCUUUGCAGCCACUAGCACCCGCUGGAGCUGCAUACAGGAGCUGCACCUGGUGGAGUCAUAUCACCAUCAGCUAGGUUUUCCCUCUCUUCUCUAAGCCCUCUGAGCAAGUCUGGGAUUUUCCUGUUGCAGCCUCUCUACAGCAAUGUCCACAAGCCCCAAACUCCCCAAAGUUAGGGUUGGGGCAGGGCUUUGUUUUUGUCUUUCCAGGAGAAUGAAGGCAUCCAACUAAGGAAUCUGAAGACCACCAGACAAAUGAGACAUCUGAAGAGAUGAAUCAUCCAGAGAAAAUGUCCCAAGAAAAAGAGUAAAUUGGCCUAUUGGUAUAUCACAUCUCCAACAGGAUAAAAUUUCAUAAAUCUUCCUAAACAUUUGUUUCUGCUGUCUCUACAGACACAUUAUACAAAUGGUCUUUUUAUAGUCCCAAUUCAAUUAAAAAUUAAAGUGGGCUUUGGAGUUGUCCUCUAAACCCAAGCAUCCUUGUUAAAGGAAAAUCCAAAAUCUCUGUCUCAUGUCAGAAGAGCCACCUGAUGUGGGACAGAAGAAAAACCAAAAUAAGGGACUGUUCUAUUGCCACUAAUCUCACAAUCCUUUAGUUUUAUUUUGACUCUUUAAAACUUUUCUUAAGGUAUAAAUAUUAUCUCAAAAUUUAUAAAAUUAAUAUAUAUAGUUUAAACUUUUUGUCAUGAUGUUAAUGGUCAUAUAGAGUACUAAUUCUAGAAAAAGACUUCUUCUAGCUUCCUAUACAUGAUUGGGGGUUUGAAUCUCAGUCAGGUAAAUAGGAAUUAAAUUUUUGUACUCUGUAUAUAACAAAUUAUGGUCCUUUAACCUCUUUGAGAUCUGGUGCAUAUGACAUUUAAAAUGUUUAUGUUUUCCGCAGUGAACCAUGACCAUGCCUAACAGUGACCUUUGAAGUCUUCAAAAGGAGAAUGGGGCCCCACAACCAGGAUUCCACUGGGACUAUGGUAAUGCCACUAAGCUGACAAACACCACCCGAAGAUUGGGUUUGAACUACAAACUGCUCAGGACAAUUUUAGGUGGUGGGCUGAGAUGGUCCAGCCUCAUAGACUACUCCAGCCAGGACUUGAGACAAGCCCUGCACUUUCCCAUCACACAGACUGGACAACAGAUGAUACAGCUAGCUCUCCCAGGACUUGACAAUUAUCCCAUUUUUUUCAGGGUCCUCUAAAGGUGCCAUUACCACCAGACAAAAAGAAGUAAUUUUAAGAACACGAUGCCCAUAUUCCCAAGAGGUGGGGUGGGUAGUUUUUGGUUGUUCAAUGGGUUAUGGAUAUUUGUCAUCAUUUAGGGCUGUUGGUUACAAGUUGUUAUUGAUAAUGGUCAGGAAAAAGACUGAGCAAAGGAUAUUAGAUUCAGAAAUUUUGUUCUGAAAAAAAAAAUGGGGAUGUAGAAAUAAUAGGAUAAAAGGGUAAAUUAUUGAAUCUACUUUUAAUCCAAAAAAGCAACUAGUAGUUUUAAAUAUUUUACAUUGAUAUGAAUGUUUGUUUAUUGAUACAAAUUUAAAGUAUUUUUGUUAUACUGUACAUAUGUUUCUACUCUUGUUUAAGGUAUUUGUGUAUAUUGAUACAAAUUUAAGGUAUUUUUGUUAGAACAUACUGUAUAUUACGUUUCUACUCUUUUUCAAGGUAUUGUACCUAUGCAGCUCAUUUAACAAUGUAAUGUAAAUUUCUAGUCCUUGAAAGUUAUUAUUACAAACUAUUUAGGAUAAUAAAGAAUGCAGGUUAAUAGUCAGUUACCUAUUAUAAUCAAACUUGUAGUCAUGUUAGAUAUGUUUUCAAGGUCAAACAGAGAUAUAUUUUAGAUAGACAGAUGGUCUUCAAACACUUCAGAGAUCUACACAAUAUGGCAUUUAAGAUGUUUUAAUAACAUAAGGUUCUUUUUUUUAAGAUUUUAUUUAUUUAUUAUGUAUAGUGUUCUACAUGCAUGUAUGCCUGCAGGCCAGAAAAGGGCACCAGAGCUCAUUACGAAUGGUUGUGAGCCACCAUGUGGUUGCUGGGAAUUGAACUCAGAACCUCUGGAAGAGCAGCCAGUGCUCUCAACCUCUGAGCCAUCUCUCCAGCUCCCCAUAAGUUUCUUUUUUAAUGACAACAUGAGACAUGUUUUUAUGAGACAUGUCUGCUCCUGGCAGCACCAAUCUAGUUCAGAGAAGAUGAUGGGCAUUGAAGGAACUCCAUAUGGAGUUUACUUUUUUUGUGGUGGCAAAAGUUAGCCACUGAGCAAGAAAGUGCCCUUGCCUCAACUGCUGACAGUAUGCUGUCCAAAUUGGACAAGCAGGACAAAAAAGAAAGUGAAUACUGAAACUUGCCAAGACAAGGUAGGACAGUCUUUAAAAUUCCUGCUUCACAGAAAAGUCUGUCAGAUAUUAUAAGCCUGCAGGCCAAAUAUGGAUGCCCUAAUGGUACAGAGGCCAUUCUGUUUCUGCCAUUUCAUAGUUUUGGAAGUUGUUUGCCCUGCACUUCCUGUUUAUUCAGGUAAUAGUAUAUCCUUCUCAGGUCUCUAAUGGAGAUGAAGACUAGAUAGUUAUAAUUUCCUUGUUAACAAAUUCAGAAAAGAAACUCACAAAAGAGGUGUAAAGUGUAUAAGGUUGAGAGAUAUAAAAAGAUAGCUUUGGGUUGGUAAUGCAAGUUAGGAUAUAAAGUGAAUUAGGUACAAAUUUCAACUCACCAAGAUAGGAUAGAUAAUGGAGUAUUUUUCUUUGAAUUCAUCAAAUGCUAUGGACUAGACAUUAUUAAUGUAAUUAUUAUUAUUAUUAUUUUUUGUUUUGUUUUGUUUUUUUGUUUUUCGAGACAGGGUUUCUCUGUGUAGCUUUGUGCCUUUCCUGGAACUCACUUGGUAGUCCAGGCUGGCCUCGAAUUCACAGAGAUCCGCCUGGCUCUGCCUCCCAAGUGCUGGGAUUAAAGGCGUGCGCCACCACCGCCCAGCGACCCUGAUAUCUGACUCUUGAUUUUUUUUUUUUUUGUUUUUUGUUUUUUUGAUUUUGUUUUUGUUUUUUCAAGACAGGGUUUCUCUGUGUAACCUUGGUGCCUGUCCUGGAACUCACUCUGUAGCCCAGGCUGGCCUCGAACUCACAGAGAUCUGCCUGGCUCUGCCUCCAGAGUGCUGGGAUUAAAGGCGUGUGCCACCACUGCCUGGCCUGACUCCUGAUUUUAAUUGAUAAGGUUAAUUAGAAUUGUGCUUCAGCAGGGGUUUAAAGAAAAAUUAUUCUGUCACUUGGUAACAAGCUGAUGAAAUUAUAAGGAAAUGUCCUACUUGUUCUUUGUAUAACCAAACUCCACUACCUGCAGGAAGUAGUCCUAUGAGUACUCAUAGAAAUGAAAUUUGGCAACUGGAUGUGUCUUAUUUUGCAGAGUUUGAAAAAUUAAAACAUAUACACCAUACCAUAGAUACAUAUUCAGGAUUUCAAUGGGCAGCUGUGAGUUCUGAAAAGGCUGAUUCUGUAAUCACACAUUUAUUAGAAGUUAUAGCCACCAGAGGAAUACCUGUACAAAUUAAGAUUGACUAUACUCCAGCAUAAGUUUCUAGUAAAAUGAAACAGCUUUUUGCAUAUUACAACAUAAAUCAUAUUACAGGUAUACCACAUAAUCCUGUAGGGCAAGCAGUUAUAUAAAGAUGUAAUCGCUGUAGUUGGUUAUUUUACUCUUUGGCUCUUUGGUGGCCCACCACCCAGCUCCCAAAUAAAUCAUAUGGAGACUUAUUCUUUCUUAUGAAUGCCCACUGUGUAACGUUUUGGUCCUUAUUUACGUCCUUUGAUUACGUCAUCAGCCUUCGCCGGCUUCCCAGCCUAAAAAGUGGUUGGGCCUUCUGUGGGCUCUCUCUGUCCCCUCUCCUUUGUGCUCCUUCCCCCCGUUGGUCCCCCUCUCUCCCUCUCCCCCCUUCUCUCUCUCUCUCUCUCUCUGUCUUUCUCUGUCUCUACCCCCCCCAAUAAAGCUCUAAAAAGGUAACAAUGGCUAUGAUUCUUUUAAUCAGCACGCUCCUCCGCGGGCAUGGCUGCUGCGGGCCGUGACCAGCCAUGAGGGGCAGCGCCGCGGCACAACCAACAUUGGUGCCGUGACUCGGAUACACCACUGAACACCAAGGACCUGCUGACUGCUGCUGCUUGCCGCCUCUUCCCCCAUCCAGAGAGACCGUGAGACCGCGAGUGCGUGCGCGCGUACCUCGCCGCCUCCGCUGGACCCCCACACCGCCACCGCCAUGAUUCUUCACCACAUUCCCUGUUCUAACUCACUGUUCAGCUAAUGGUACAGGACCACCACAGAACCGGAGUCCAGAGAUCAUCAAAUAAGAAACUGUAACAGCUAAAAGGUAUUUACACCCCCAGACCCAAAAGCGUCUGGGUGCUACAAAAAGACUUUAAUGUAAACAUCUAUUACUAUGAGAUGCUUUUAACAAUUGAUCACCUGUCUCCUAGAUGCUGAACCAGUAAAGGAAACAGGUACUUUAAAAUAAUCUGUCUCUGAUAAAGCUUAACAUGUUUCAAAAUCCAUAGGGACAGGCCGAUCUACCUCAGAUAAAUGUCAACAUAAAAUAAUAAUGAUUCUUUUAUCUCUCUAAGUUUUUUCUGUGUCACCAGCAUCUUGUCAAACAGAAAGUUCCCAGCCACAGCCAAGAGGGAUACAUGUCUCCAGAGCAAACGGAUGACAGACAGCAUCCCACAACGCCUGUCUACCUCGGAAGACUCCCCUUCUCCAUUCCCCCAAGAGCCAACCAACAUCCAAAAGUCAGCUGGAAGCAGUUUUUGAGAGGAACGACUCCCCUAGUCCCAUCUACCUGCUUUUUUUAUAAUAAGGGAAAGUCUGGGAUGUAAGGAUUUGGUCCUUAUUUACGUCCUUUAAUUACGUCAUCAGCCUUCCCCGGCUUCCCAGCCUAAAAAGCGGGUGGGCCCUCUGUGGGCUCUCUGUCCCCUCUCCUUUGCGCUCCUUCCCCCGUCGGUCCCCCUCUCUCCCUCUUCUCCCCCCUUCUCUCUCUCUCUCUCUCUCUCUCUCUCUCUCUUUCUCUCUCUCUCUGUCUUUCUCUGUCUCUACCCCCCCCCAAUAAAGCUCUAAAAAGGUAA